CCAAUCUUUUAGCGGGCCAUGGGCUUGUUCAUGGUCUCGCGAAACUUUGUAUUUAAAACCCGCUCAUGUAAAUUUUUUUUAAACGUAUGUUAUUAUAUAUAAAUAAAGA
rnacentral:misc_RNA from 1 species